UGCUGGUUCCAAACCCAAGAAGCGGUUGACUUGGCCUCAGCAAUCAGCAUCCCGCUGGUCACAUGCUCCAGGCAGCUGCUCUUUGUUUUUAUCCUUCACCAGGCCUCUCCGGCCUCUUGGGCCUCCCCGGCCUCUCCGGCCUCUCCAGCUUCUCCAGGAACAAAUCUUGGAGUCUUGGGGUUCUGCUUGAUCACCCAGGGACAGACCCUUCUCUUACUUCCAGUCCAGGGCUAGGGACAUCGUAUCCUUAGGGGCCUUCUGCCCAUUUCCAGAGUGGUGAUUAACCGUCCCUGGUAAGCCAGCAUUACGUAAGGGGAUUAUGAAACUGUAACAGGAGGGUCUGCGAGAUCUGUAUGUAUAAAUAGACACAAACCUCUUUACUGCGCCACUGUGAGGUCCAGAGCCAUCUAGCGGCAGAAAGCUGUAUAUGCAGCUCUUGCAAAUCGGUUCAGAAAAUAAUUCUUUUAUGUUCUAAAUAUGACACUUUGUACAUAACUAGACACGGAGCCUCUCGGUUAAACUAUGCUGAGAAAAAAGGGAGGCGAGUCUCUGUUUUUAACUUUAGAGGUAAUAUCCUUAAUAAAAGAAGUCCCGCCCGUUGUACAUGGGGUGUUAACUAAGAAAUUCCAGUGUGGCGACUGUUUAUGCGAGCCUGCCUUUCACGUUCGCGUACCCAGACGCACCGCUGCUUAGAUGUUUUUAGAUCUGUCCCUAUAUCAUAUUAAGUGCAGCUGAUAAACAUGUCCAUGGGACCCGAGAAUAUUCUUUAAACCUGAGCAUGGUUGUCUCGUCCACCCCCUCCCUCACAGUGCUGUUUCCUGUUCUGUUUAUCCUUCCGCCUCAGUCAGAAGACUGGGUGGGGCUGUUACUGAAGACAGAAAAAGGACCGCAGCAAGGCAUCUUUUCAAUGGCUUUUGAGUUUCAGUAGAGUUGAACUUUUAGGAACCAUGACGAAUUUAAGACAUAAACUAAAUGUGUAACGUGUGUGUGUGUGUGUGUGUGUGUGUGUGUGUGUGCGUGCGCGCGCGCGCGCGUGUAAUAAACUUUGGGGAAGUGUAUAACAUAGAGUCAGAGAAGUACAGGCAACAUGAACUGCUCAACUUCAGUACACUCUGAUACUGUUUUCUGAAGAUGCCAGGGCUCACAUUUGUGGGUGAACAUACCUGCUACUUAGUCACUGGGAAAAACAGAGUCUUAAAUCUGACUCAAAGCUGGGAAGAAUGGAGCACAUCUUUAAUCCCGGCACUCAGGAGGCAGAGGAGAUGGAUCUCUGAAUUCCAAACCAGCCUGGUCUACAGAGCGGGUCUGAAACAGCAGGGAGCACACAGAAACACUGACCUUAAAAACUACAACAACAGUAAUAAAUAUGACUCAAGACACUGAAAAAAAUACCACUCUCCAUCCCCUCCCCCAUAGGAGGGGAAGGAGCGGAGAGGAGGGGAGGGGAGUGGGGAGGAGGGAAGAGGAAGAGAGAAGAGGAAGGGAGGGGAAAGAGAAGAGAGGAGGGGAGGUGAGGGGAGAGAAGGGAAGAGGGGAGGAGAGAGAAGAGGAGGGGAGGAGGAGGGGGUGCAACAGAGAAGAAACACUUGCCUAACUUGUACAUUAAUCUGAAUUCUUAUUAGAAACAGAUGGCAGUCUCAAAUAUCUAGUUUACAAAACUGUAAGUAGGAUUUAUACAAACAGGGAAGGAGUCAUGUGGUUCCCUCGGCUAAUCAAACCGUGAAAUGUGGGCAGUGACCCGGACAGUGUAGGAAGCCCAGCGUGGAUGCUACAAGACAGGACCCUAGACAGCAGGUAUGCUUGUCACCAGUCACAGCACAUGCUUUUCAAGAUUUAUUUUUAUUUUAUCUGAAUGAUUUUGUAUGGAAUCCCCGGAAGUGAAAUCAUGAGCGGUUGUGAGCCGGCAUGUGGGUGCUCUGACUGGAACCUAGCUCUUCAGCCCCUACCACAUGUUCUCAGCAUUCACAAAGGGAUGGGCGUCACCUGUCUCACCCACCCACUCUCUUGGCACUACCAGCAAGCCUCACUACUCUCAACCCGUCUUCUUGAAGAGGAGCUAUAAAACAGGAAGGUUUGCAUGGGGCGGGGGUUGGGAGGCAGGGUAGAGGAGGGCAUGUGAGAAAGAGCUCAGCAGCUGUGGGACGGUAAACCAUAGCAGGAAGCUUGGUGGGUAGAGCAGGUCUGAGACCCUGGAAACUCAGGGUACACAUCUGAGAAGGUAGGCAGCUCCCUGCCAGAUUCCUGGCUUGGAGCACGUGCCACACUUCCCACAUAAGGGACCGUAGAUCAGAACAGAGUUCCCCAUGCUAAUGAGGUUCCUAGAGGCCCCAGGGCUUAGCCAAUGAGCUUCCAUUCACAGAUAUUUCUCCCUGCAAAAGGUAUUUAAUCUCGGGUCCGCCCUGAGAGGUUGAUACACAUUCAUUUUACAUGAUAAUCAACCAAUAGGCAGUUUAGAACCAAGGACUGUCAUCAAGAACCCACAUGGGAAGCAUGGGGAAGGCCUUGGACUACUGAGCUGUAGCUCAAGUCUCCCACAGAAGGUCUCUGCACUUCCUGACAACCACACCCAAGUCACCUAAGGACAGUCACAGCCGAGCUAAGCCGGGGCUCCCCUCUGCCCGCCCCCAGACUCAUCCUCAGCUCGCAGACCUCCUUUUCUCCGGCUCUUCCGUGACUUCCAGCGGCACCUGGAUGUCCAAGAGUCUGAGAACCUCCAUGGCUACAGCCUUGAUCCGGGAACCCCCAACACUUCGUUUCUGUCUUCUCUGUGCCAUUCUCCAGCAGCAACUAGAGGUCUGGAAGCCAAGAAAUGCCAGCUCUGGCUUUCCCACACCUCGGCUACGUUUUCCCACCUGUGGAGAGGUGUCUCCCAUUUCCCUAAAGCCCUGCACCCAGCAGCUGUGUUAGAUUAGCUCAGUCAGGCUCCGUUUUGCCUCCCUGACGGCUGUGCCCUAUGGUGAGGUAGAACGGAGCCCCACAGCAGCAGGUGUUCAUCCCUGCUUCCUGAUUGUGGGCGUGACCUUUCCACUUGGCCUCCAUGACGGACCUCAUCUGUGAAUUGAGAGUCAGAACAAACUGUUUCUCCCGUAAGUUGCUUUUGUCUGGUAUUUAUUUCAGCAGCAGGAAAGAAAACUCAGAAACUACCAGAGCCAGGCAUGGAGGUGCACGCCUAUAAUUCUGACACUUGGGAAGCAGAGGCAAGAGGGUCCAGUGGUCAAAGCCAUCGUGGGCUGUGUGAAACCCUGUCUCAAAACCCAAACAUAAAAACAAACAAAUAGCCUUUGGACGAGAGCGAACAUGGAGGAGUAAUCUCUUCAGAAACCAGCUACUCCAGAAACACCUCCUCCUGCAAAAGCUCCUGGUCCUCUGCCUUUACCAUCCACUCCUGAUGAGCAGCCAGUAUUCUCCUUCUCAGACCCCUACCUUACUCACCGGAUAAACCACCUUCUCAGACAAAUGCAAGAUGUAAGAAUUCUCCUUGGUCUCUGGUCAUGGAACUGAGGAACUUGUCUGCCCACCGGAAGCCUGCCACUACAAAGAGUUAAGGACCGAACCCAGGGCCUUGCUCUUGCUAGGCAAGUGCUCUACCAUUGAGCUAAAUCCCCAGACCGGCUGAUGACCAUCUUAUAGUGCAUAAGACAACCCUUUUCCCCAAUAAAAUUUUUUUCUCGUCCCC